CUAGGACCGCCGUAAUGAUUAAUAGGGACAGUCGGGGGCAUCAGUAUUCAAUUGUCAGAGGUGAAAUUCUUGGAUUUAUUGAAGACUAACUACUGCGAAAGCAUUUGCCAAGGAUGUUUUCAUUAAUCAGGAACGAAAGUUAGGGGAUCGAAGACGAUCAGAUACCGUCGUAGUCUUAACCAUAAACUAUGCCGACUAGGGAUCGGACGAUGUUAUUUUUUGACGCGUUCGGCACCUUACGAGAAAUCAAAGUGCUUGGGCUCCAGGGGGAGUAUGGUCGCAAGGCUGAAACUUAAAGAAAUUGACGGAAGGGCACCACCAGGGGUGGAGCCUGCGGCUUAAUUUGACUCAACACGGGGAAACUCACCAGGUCCAGACACAAUGAGGAUUGACAGAUUGAGAGCUCUUUCUUGAUUUUGUGGGUGGUGGUGCAUGGCCGUUCUUAGUUGGUGGAGUGAUUUGUCUGCUUAAUUGCGAUAACGAACGAGACCUUAACCUGCUAAAUAGCCCGUAUUGCUUUGGCAGUACGCUGGCUUCUUAGAGGGACUAUCGGCUCAAGCCGAUGGAAGUUUGAGGCAAUAACAGGCCUGUGAUGCCCUUAGACGUUCUGGGCCGCACGCGCGCUACACUGACGGAGCCAGCGGAGUACUUCCCUUGGCCGGAAGGCCCCGGGGUCAUCUGAUAAUUCUCCCCUC
rnacentral:rRNA from 1 species